AGUCGAGCGGAGAUGAGGUGCUUGCACCUUAUCUUAGCGGCGGACGGGUGAGUAAUGCUUAGGAAUCUGCCUAUUAGUGGGGGACAACAUUCCGAAAGGAAUGCUAAUACCGCAUACGUCCUACGGGAGAAAGCAGGGGAUCUUCGGACCUUGCGCUAAUAGAUGAGCCUAAGUCGGAUUAGCUAGUUGGUGGGGUAAAGGCCUACCAAGGCGACGAUCUGUAGCGGGUCUGAGAGGAUGAUCCGCCACACUGGGACUGAGACACGGCCCAGACUCCUACGGGAGGCAGCAGUGGGGAAUAUUGGACAAUGGGGGGAACCCUGAUCCAGCCAUGCCGCGUGUGUGAAGAAGGCCUUAUGGUUGUAAAGCACUUUAAGCGAGGAGGAGGCUACUGAGAUUAAUACUCUUGGAUAGUGGACGUUACUCGCAGAAUAAGCACCGGCUAACUCUGUGCCAGCAGCCGCGGUAAUACAGAGGGUGCGAGCGUUAAUCGGAUUUACUGGGCGUAAAGCGUGCGUAGGCUGUUUUUUAACCUCGGAUGUGAAAUCCCCGAGCUUAACUUGGGAAUUGCAUCCCAUACUGGGAACCUAUAGUAUGGG
rnacentral:rRNA from 1 species